rnacentral:rRNA from 1 species
UGGGGAAUAUUGCGCAAUGGGGGCAACCCUGACGCAGCAACGCCGCGUGCGGGACGACGGCCUUCGGGUUGUAAACCGCUUUCAGCAGGGAAGAUAGUGACGGUACCUGCACAAGAAGCCCCGGCUAACUACGUGCCAGCAGCCGCGGUAAUACGUAGGGGGCGAGCGUUAUCCGGAUUCAUUGGGCGUAAAGCGCGCGCAGGCGGCUCUUCAAGCGGAACCUCUAACCCCGGGGCUCAACCUCGGGCCGGGUUCCGAACUGGAGGGCUGGAGUGCGGUAGAGGCAGGCGGAAUUCCCGGUGUAGCGGUGGAAUGCGCAGAUAUCGGGAAGAACACCGAUGGCGAAGGCAGCCUGCUGGGCCGGCACUGACGCUGAGGCGCGAAAGCUAGGGGAGCGAACAGG